AGCGAACGCUGGCGGCAGGCCUAACACAUGCAAGUCGAACGAACUCUUCGGAGUUAGUGGCGGACGGGUGAGUAACACGUGGGAACGUGCCUUUAGGUUCGGAAUAACUCAGGGAAACUUGUGCUAAUACCGAAUGUGCCCUUCGGGGGAAAGAUUUAUCGCCUUUAGAGCGGCCCGCGUCUGAUUAGCUAGUUGGUGAGGUAACGGCUCACCAAGGCGACGAUCAGUAGCUGGUCUGAGAGGAUGGCCAGCCACACUGGGACUGAGACACGGCCCAGACUCCUACGGGAGGCAGCAGUGGGGAAUCUUGCGCAAUGGGCGAAAGCCUGACGCAGCCGUGCCGCGUGAAUGAUGAAGGUCUUAGGAUUGUAAAAUUCUUUCACCGGGGACGAUAAUGACGGUACCCGGAGAAGAAGCCUCGGCUAACUUCGUGCCAGCCGCCGCGGUAA
rnacentral:rRNA from 1 species